rnacentral:ncRNA from 1 species
AUAACAGCAAUGAGAAGGAUCAAGGUAGCAGCUCUUAUCAUACAGAGACCAAUCGGAUAGCUGAGACGAUGGGAUAAUCUGAAACCAACUCACCUUUUAGCUGAUUUUCUGAACACGAAUAGUAAGAAAAUCCGUUUGACCUACGUUACAGGCAUGAACGAAGACUUUUUUGUCUAUUGAUAAAAAGGUAAAUUAGGGUGGUACCACGUUAGGAAUAAAACUCCUGUCGUCCCUUGU